GGAGGCCCUGUGCACGAGGAGGAGGAGGGCAUGAAGCAGUGCCAGUUGCCCACAGCCACAUCUGCAGAACAGCAAGUACCAUGGUUUGGCUUUGAGAAAGCUUGUACAUUUGUGAGCCAGAGUGGGAAAAAUGUUGUUGUAUGAUGCAAUUACUGCCUUCCAAGGAUCAAAAAUCUGAGAUCAGCUGUUUCCUCCUCAUCCAAUGUGAAGAAACAUUUUGAGAGGGCACACCCUGAGAAGCUGAGAGCAAUUGAAGAAGCAAUAAAGGCAAGGAGACGUGGCCUUCCUGAACCAAUGCAUGACACCCUUCCUCCCAAAAUGCUGAAGCAGCAGCAGACAACCCUUGAGAGGUGGGGAUCUGGCAGGGAUCUGCUUCUUCUGGCAGCCUGCGUACACCCUCGCUUCAAACUAGAUCGGCUGGAAUCGUGUCAGGCCACCACCCAUACCAACAAAUACACAAUGGAAGCCUUGUUGAAAGCUGAAAUAAAGAUGGGUGUACUUAAUGAGGACAGUGAUCAGUCUUCAGAUAAAGACCAGGAA